GACGUAGGGGGCCAGCGUUGCUCGGAAUUACUGGGCGUAAAGGGUUCGUAGGCGGUGUGGCAAGUCGGGCGUGAAAUCUCUGGGCUCAACCCAGAGUCUGCUUCCGAAACUGCUGUGCUUGAGUGUGGGAGAGGCGCGUGGAAUUGCAGGUGUAGCGGUGAAAUGCGUAGAUAUCCGCAGGAACACCCGUGGCGAAAGCGGCGCGCUGGACCACUACUGACGCUGAGGCACGAAAGCGUGGGGAGCAAACAGG
rnacentral:rRNA from 1 species